rnacentral:rRNA from 1 species
UUUACAUGGGAUUACCUUAGUACGGCGAGUGAAGCGGUAAAAGCUCAAAUUUGAAAUCUGGUACUUUCAGUGCCCGAGUUGUAAUUUGUAGAAUUUGUCUUUGAUUAGGUCCUUGUCUAUGUUCCUUGGAACAGGACGUCAUAGAGGGUGAGAAUCCCGUUUGGCGAGGAUACCUUUUCUCUGUAAGACUUUUUCGAAGAGUCGAGUUGUUUGGGAAUGCAGCUCAAAGUGGGUGGUAAAUUCCAUCUAAAGCUAAAUAUUGGCGAGAGACCGAUAGCGAACAAGUACAGUGAUGGAAAGAUGAAAAGAACUUUGAAAAGAGAGUGAAAAAGUACGUGAAAUUGUUGAAAGGGAAGGGCAUUUGAUCAGACAUGGUGUUUUUUGCAUGCACUCGCCUCUCGUGGGCUUGGGCCUCUCAAAAAUUUCACUGGGCCAACAUCAAUUCUGGCAGCAGGAUAAAUCAUUAAGAAUGUAGCUACUUCGGUAGUGUUAUAGCUUUUUGGAAUACUGUUAGCCGGGAUUGAGGACUGCGCUUCGGCAAGGAUGUUGGCAUAAUGGUUAAAUGCCGCCCGUCUUGACCCACCCGAGAACC